ACGUAGGUGGCAAGCGUUGUCCGGAUUUAUUGGGUUUAAAGGGUGCGUAGGCGGUUCUAUAAGUCAGUGGUGAAAUCCGGCAGCUUAACUGUCGAUGUGCCAUUGAUACUGCAGAACUUGAGUACAGACGAGGUAGGCGGAAUUGACGGUGUAGCGGUGAAAUGCUUAGAUAUCGUCAAGAACACCGAUAGCGAAGGCAGCUUACUAGACUGUAACUGACGCUGAUGCACGAAAGUGUGGGGAUCAAGCAGGA
rnacentral:rRNA from 1 species